rnacentral:rRNA from 1 species
AUACGGAGGGUGCGAGCGUUACUCGGAGUCACUGGGCGUAAAGCGUCCGUAGGCGGUCGGGUAAGUCGGGUGUGAAAGCCCCGGGCUCAACCUGGGAAGUGCACCCGAUACUGCUCGACUCGAGUGCGGGAGAGGAUGGCGGAAUCCCCGGUGUAGCGGUGAAAUGCGUAGAGAUCGGGAGGAACACCAGUGGCGAAGGCGGCCAUCUGGCCCGCAACUGACGCUGAGGGACGAAAGCGUGGGGAGCAAACAGGAUUAGAUACCCUAGUAGUCC